UACAGAGGGUGCGAGCGUUGUCCGGAAUCACUGGGCGUAAAGAGCUCGUAGGCGGUUUGUUGCGUCGGCUGUGAAAUCCCGAGGCUCAACCUCGGGUCUGCAGUCGAUACGAGCAAACUAGAGUGUUGCAGGGGAGACUGGAAUUCCUGGUGUAGCGGUGAAAUGCGCAGAUAUCGGGAGGAACACCAAUGGCGAAGGCAGCUCGCUGGGACGGUACUGACGCUGAGACGCGAAAGCGUGGGGAGCAAACAGG
rnacentral:rRNA from 1 species